GAUGAAGAACGCAGCGAAAUGCGAUAAGUAAUGUGAAUUGCAAAAUUCAGUGAAUCAUCGAAUCUUUGAACGCACAUUGCGCCCCUUGGUAUUCCGAGGGGCAUGCCUGUUCGAGCGUCAUUAUAACCCCUCAAGCUCAGCUUGGUGUUGGGGCCUGCUGCACUGGCAGCCCUUAAAAUCAGUGGCGGCGCCAUCUGGCUCUAAGCGUAGUAAUUCUUCUCGCUAUGGAGUCCUGGUGGAUGCUUGCCAUCAACCCCCAAUUUUUCUAUGGUUGACCUCGGAUCAGGUAGGGAUACCCGCUGAACUUAAGCAUAUCAAUAAGCGGAGGA
rnacentral:misc_RNA from 1 species